GAUGAACGCUGGCGGCGUGCUUAACACAUGCAAGUCGAACGAGAAGUGAAGACGGAAACCUUCGGGCGGAAGGCUUUAUUUCGAGUGGCGGACGGGUGAGUAACGCGUGGGUAACCUGCCUCAUCCAGGGGGAUAACAGUUGGAAACGACUGUUAAUACCGCAUAAGACCACAGCACCGCAUGGUGCGGGGGUAAAAACUCCGGUGGUAUGAGAUGGACCCGCGUUCGAUUAGCCAGUUGGCGGGGUAACGGCCCACCAAAGCGACGAUCGAUAGCCGAUCUGAGAGGAUGACCGGCCACAUUGGGACUGAGACACGGCCCAAACUCCUACGGGAGGCAGCAGUGGGGAAUAUUGCACAAUGGGGGAAACCCUGAUGCAGCGACGCCGCGUGAGUGAAGAAGUAUUUCGGUAUGUAAAGCUCUAUCAGCAGGGAAGAAAAUGACGGUACCUGAGGAAGAAGCCCCGGCUAACUACGUG
rnacentral:rRNA from 1 species